CCCCCCCCCCCCCCCCCAUUUUUAUUAGGGUUGUUCUGGAAUAUUAAGUCUGCAUACAGCAACUGCAGAUUUUCCUCCUCACUGAUACUUUGUUUUAUACGGAAUAUAUUUUUACAUCAUUUAAAAAUAUUGCUCUCUACAAAACACUUUUAUACUCUAUUUUUCAUUUGCAUUCCAAAUAAUUGCUGUAGGGUUUUCUUAUUCUUAGCAAAAGGAGAUGGAUCCCCAGAUGUAUUUUCCUUUGUUUUUCUUUCUUCCUUCUCCCCUGUGUAAAUACUCUUAUAAAAGUAGAUUUAACAAAAGACCAUUUGCUAUAAAAAACUUCCUCAGCAGUGACAUGAUACACCACACACCCACUUGUGUAGUCUUUAUCAAUAACAACAGAAACAGUGUCAAGUGAUAAAAAUAUAUGUGAUUUAAAUCAGCCGUUUUGGGAGUAUAUUUAUUCAAGACCCUUCCAGAGGAGAUGAAUAGCAGGUUUCUAAAUGUGAUGUUUUGAGGGUAAGCAAAUGAGUCAUUAUUUGUAUUCUAGAGCAAUAGAGCUGGGCAAGAACAACGCUGCAAGAGGGAGUAAGCAAUCGUAUCUAACUGUUUAUUCUAUUACAUUCAUCACCACAGGGUGCAUCUGUGCGUGUGAGGUCAAGGUCACUGAUCCUUGUUCACAUGAAUCAUUCUCAGCGCUCAUGAAAAACACCCCUGAGAACAUCCCAGCGUGUUGGAGCACCAAUAGCUUCGGCAGGCUCCUGCCACUCCUGAGUCACCUCUGCCAGCCAGAACUCACAGGGAAGGUGCUGUAG
rnacentral:lncRNA from 1 species